rnacentral:rRNA from 1 species
AACGAACGCUGGCGGCAGGCUUAACACAUGCAAGUCGAGCGAAGACUUCGGUCUUAGCGGCGGACGGGUGAGUAACGCGUGGGAACAUACCCUUUGCUACGGAACAGUCCCGGGAAACUGGGUUUAAUACCGUAUACGCCCUUCGGGGGAAAGAUUUAUCGGCAAAGGAUUGGCCCGCGUUGGAUUAGGUAGUUGGUGGGGUAAAGGCCUACCAAGCCGACGAUCCAUAGCUGGUUUGAGAGGAUGAUCAAACCCUCGCAUUAG